GCGGCUACACAUGCAAGUCGAACGGUAACAGGAAGCAGCUUGCUGCUUCGCUGACGAGUGGCGGACGGGUGAGUAAUGUCUGGGAAACUGCCUGAUGGAGGGGGAUAACUACUGGAAACGGUAGCUAAUACCGCAUAACGUCGCAAGACCAAAGAGGGGGACCUUCGGGCCUCUUGCCAUCGGAUGUGCCCAGAUGGGAUUAGCUAGUAGGUGGGGUAACGGCUCACCUAGGCGACGAUCCCUAGCUGGUCUGAGAGGAUGACCAGCCACACUGGAACUGAGACACGGUCCAGACUCCUACGGGAGGCAGCAGUGGGGAAUAUUGCACAAUGGGCGCAAGCCUGAUGCAGCCAUGCCGCGUGUAUGAAGAAGGCCUUCCGGUUGUAAAGUACUUUCASCGGGGAGGAAGGCGAUAAGGUUAAUAACCUUGUCGAUUGACGUUACCCGCA
rnacentral:rRNA from 1 species